AUUGAACGCUGGCGGCAGGCCUAACACAUGCAAGUCGAGCGAGCGGCGGACGGGUGAGUAAUGUAUGGGGACUGCCCGAUAGAGGGGGGUAACUACUGGAAACGGUAGCUAAUACCGCAUACUAUCGGAUAACCCAUAUGGGAUUAGCUAGUAGGUGGGGUAAUGGCUAACCUAGGCGACGACCCCUAGCUGGUCUGAGAGGGUGUUCAGCCGCUCUGGGACUGAGACACGGCCCAGGCUCCUACGGAGGCAGCAGUGGGGAAUAUGGCACAAUGGGCGCAAGCCUGAUGCAGCCAUGCCGCGUGUAUGAAGAAGGCCCUAGGGUGGUAAAGUACUUUCAGGCGGGAGGCGUUACCGACAGAAGAAGCACCGGCUAACUCCGUGCCAGCAGCCGCGGUAAUUC
rnacentral:rRNA from 1 species